rnacentral:rRNA from 1 species
ACGCUCGACACCUACGGGAGGCGGCAGUGGGGAAUAUUGCACAAUGGGGGAAACCCUGAUGCAGCGACGCCGCGUGGAGGAAGAAGGUCUUCGGAUUGUAAACUCCUGUUGUUGGGGAAAAAGAGGAUGGUACCCAACAAGGAAGUGACGGCUAACUACGUGCCAGCAGCCACGGUAAUCUGAGCGGGCUGGCAAGGC